rnacentral:lncRNA from 1 species
AGAGUUAGUUCAAUCUCUCUCCCUUAUUGUAGCCUUGAAUAAAGGCUUUGCCUUUCAAACUCUGUCCUGCCCAUUUUUCUUUGACAUGUUCAGAUGUUGGCAAGGCUGAAAACUGCAGGGGAUCUGGUUGUGAUAAUCCAGGUACAUGCCCCAAGGAAAUGAGGCUACAUGAGGACACAGCAAGAAGGUGGCUGUCUGCAAGCCAGAAAGAGAGCCCUCCCCAGAGACUGAACCAGCUAGAACCAUGAUCUUGGACUUCCAGCCUCCAGAACUGUUAUUCUAGGUCGACUUCCGUGUCUGGAUGUAACCAAAUCACCAGCCAGACCGUGACCAGGACACAUCAUACCGCUUGCCCCCGGCAGAGAUCCUGUGCCCACAUGUGAUAAGCUCCCAGGAGACCACAAGCUACUUGGAGGUAGGACCAAGUGGUGUACAUAACGACCAGACAGCCACAAAGAGUCCCUUGCUCAGACAGGUGUUCAGCAACUCUUCCCAGAGCAAAACAUGCCUGUCUUGCCCACUGCGGAGUAACUGCAAGGCAGCGCACUGCUCCUCUGGGGUCUCAGACCCAAUGGCAGCCUUACAAGAAUAAACUCAAGCUGUUUUAAAAAAUAUUUUUAAACAGCAAACCUCUCCUCUCUAAAUGACAUUUAAUUGCUUCAAAGAUCAAGAGAAGGCAACUUCUUUGUGGCUGGGCGUGCAAACAACCUGCGUUCUUCAGGGCUCUGGGUAUGGGUUACAAGAUUCAUCGUGACUCAAUUCUCCAAUCCACUGAGUUUUGGAGGACACAGGCAGUGUGUCACUGCAGAUGGACUGCCAACCCCCAAUUAAACUGUUCUGGAUGGCUACUGGUGGUGACCUUCAGGUGACAUUGGUCAAGCCUCAAAGGAGUGUGGCCACCCAACCCUAGCAGAGUUUGAGUGUGCCAGGUGCUCAUUACUGAACCCACUUCUCAGUCUACAUCAAACAACCAUGCUGGCCAGAAAUGGUGUGCUGAGUUCUGACGAUACAGAAACACCACACUACUGAUGAUACAGGUGCAUACAUGAAACCUCCUGGUGGCAGGAAGACUCGUUCCUGAGGGCCUGAUGGCUCCCACACCGAGGAAUGCUCUGCCAGAGGCCAGUCCAUUUCAGGCACAGUUAUAACCCACUCCAUAAAGGUUGUGCCAGGGAGAAAAUUAUGACAGGACCUUGCUUGAAAGAAGAGGCAGUCACAAGGCCCCAUGGGGCUUACCUUCCAGGAUGGACUGGCCCUGGGUUUGGGAUUGCAUCAAUUUCAUUUCUGGCUCUCAUGAGUCGGAUUCCCUCUUUUCUCAGAGUAUGGAAGCCAGUGGAGCGUGGCAAAGGUGUCUGGCACCCUGUCUUUGCUGCUUCCUGUGAAAACGAGAUGGUCUGCCUGAAAUGAUACAUUGGCUGUUUCAUUUCUGGGCUCCCCUUGUGUCUUUUUUUUUUAAAGACAGAGACGGGGUCUCACUAUGUUGCCCAGGCUGUCCUCGAACUCCUACGCUCAAGGAAUCUUCCUGCCUCAGCCUCCCAAAGAGCAGGAUUAUGAACGUGAGCCAUUACGCCCAACUUCCCCUAAUCUCUUGUGCUUGGCAUAAUGCUGGUAUGCAGUAGGUGCUCAAUAAAUGCUGACUUGGGUGUAA